rnacentral:rRNA from 1 species
AGCGAACGCUGGCGGCAGGCUUAACACAUGCAAGUCGAGCGGGCGUAGCAAUACGUCAGCGGCAGACGGGUGAGUAACGCGUGGGAACGUACCUUUUGGUUCGGAACAACACAGGGAAACUUGUGCUAAUACCGGAUAAGCCCUUACGGGGAAAGAUUUAUCGCCGAAAGAUCGGCCCGCGUCUGAUUAGCUAGUUGGUGAGGUAAUGGCUCACCAAGGCGACGAUCAGUAGCUGGUCGAGAGGAUGAUCAGCCACAUUGGGACUGAGACACGGCCCAAACUCCUACGGGAGGCAGCAGUGGGGAAUAUUGGACAAUGGGCGCAAGCCUGAUCCAGCCAUGCCGCGUGAGUGAUGAAGGCCCUAGGGUUGUAAAGCUCUUUUGUGCGGGAAGAUAAUGACGGUACCGCAAGAAUAAGCCCCGGCUAACUUCGUGCCAGCCGCCGCGGUAAC